rnacentral:lncRNA from 1 species
UAGAAUUUGAAUCAAGGUGAGUAUGUUGAAUCUAACAAUUUUUGUAUUGCUAGUUGAACUAACUCUUAAACAUAAAAGACGAUCAUUAUUUUUUUUUAGUUCUUAAAAUUGUAAGUCUCCCUCAAUUUAAUCUCUUAAGUUGAACAAUGUUACUCAAUUUAGUCCUUUAUUUUUACAAAAAAUUUAGCACCACGAAUCCACGAUUUACAACUUUAUAUG